AUCUGUAAAAUGGAAUUUAGACCAGAUGUCCCUACAGCUUCACUCACCUCCGAUAGUCUCUGAUGCUAAGCCAGGAAUGCACUAGCAAACCCCAGAGCAACAAGCAAGGCUGGCAUCUUGACAGGUUCCCACAGCUUCUUCCAAAGGCUUUUCAGAUGGGAUCCUUGAUGCUUAAUAGGCACCUAAACCAGAAUCAGAAGCCCUCCACUAACGAAGUCCACUGGAUCAGAUGCUGCUAUGUCAUAUCACAUGCGAUGUCAACCCCAGCUUCAGUGGACAGCUCUGUGCAGCCUGUGACUCACCUCAUGCUGACACCAUUCUCUGCAUACCUUUCUGCCCUGGGCUUCUCCAAUGCCACAGGGGUGGAGGCUCUGCAUGGGCCCAACAGCGUGAGCUCCUUCUCACUGAGGCUGAUCUAGCUGGUGCUACUACUGAAUGUUGGGAGCAGAAAAUGGUGCUGAGACCUCAGUGUGGUAUCAUAUAUUCAGGAGUCAAAUCAGCCACCUUUGGCAAGUGCAUUACAUUGGGCCCCUCUGCCCUGGAAGGGGAAGUGAUUUGUCCUUUCUGGAAAUAACACCUACUCUGGAUAUGGGUGUGUCUUUAUUGCCUGAAGUGCCUCUGUCAGCACCGCUCUCUGAAGGCUGGGGAAAUGUGGAUUUGCUGACACAGAAUCCAAUAUAACAUUGUCUCAGGCCAAGGGAGCCAUUUUACAGCAAAGAAGGUGUGCGAACGGAUUCAUGACUAU
rnacentral:lncRNA from 1 species